CACCACUCUCGAAAAUACCAAGUCUUGUUACCCCGUCAACCCGAAUUUGAACAUUCUUGGCCUGAUUUCCUUUUCCCUUCCAGUAAUAAAAUACUGAAUCUCUAGAUUAUGUACUGAGUAAACCUCCCUUCAAGUCAUUCAUUGCCCCGACACUAGGCAAAUGUCCUACCAUCAUAUCAAUACUGCGGAAUAAUCGUUCAUAAGAACAACUUGUGCCUAACCUUAAAACUCUCAGAAGUACCGCUACUGAGUCGAAACAACAGAAUAUCCUUCUACAAGGCGACGAUAAUAGCUCAAAUAACACUACUC
rnacentral:lncRNA from 1 species